rnacentral:rRNA from 1 species
UCGAACGGAAUCCAUGUGGUGGUAACACCGCGGAAGGUUUAGUGGCGAACGGGUGAGGAACACGUGAGGAACCUGCCCCAAACUUUGGGAUAACAGUUGGAAACGAUUGCUAAUACCAGAUGCCGUUACUUUGUUGCAUGGCGAGGUAACGAAAGUUUUUUCGGUUUUGGGAGGGGCCUCGCGGCCUAUCAGCUUGUUGGUGAGGUAAUGGCUCACCAAGGCAACGACGGGUAGCUGGUCUGAGAGGAUGAUCAGCCACACUGGGACUGAGACACGGCCCAGACUCC